rnacentral:lncRNA from 1 species
AGCUGAGGUGGUUGCUGGGAGAGGUGGUUGCUGGGAGAGCUGUUCCGGCGCUCACGUUCCAAUUCCAAAUUACAAAUUCCGAUCUAGAGCUCCCACGCUUGGGGGCUGUGGAGCGCUCGCCAGCCGCUCCCCGUUUGCUGCUGGGUCUUACGAAGUUCUCAUAUCCAUCAUACAGUUUCUUUGUCACACUGUCCGCGGCACGCCAGUCCCUAUGACAGAAAGCACCUGCGGUCUGUCUGGAGGCGGAGUUGGUGGCGGAGAGAAAAAGUUCUGGAGACACCUGGUUGGGAGCAGGCUAAGGAAACAAAUGGGGAGGAAUUAGCCACAAAUCCUCAAAUAGACAGCUACUCAAAGGCAUCUUCACGGACAAUUUCCAAGCAUUGGAUGCAGUGGUGCAUUCUUGCAUUGGGCAGUGAUUGUGUGCACACAUCUCUUUAAGGGAGAGUGGAAAUGGGGUGAGGAGGAAAAUGGGAGUAGGAUAGAGUGUAGCGUUGACAUUUAUUUUCUUUAAAGGAAGACCCGAGCAUACCUGAGAGCUCAGUGAAGAAAGUAGUUCUGGCGAAUCGGAUUAAUAUGGUAUGAUCAGCCUUUAGCAAGAUUCUAUCACUUUUCCCACUGAUGAUGUGAGACGGUGUCCGCGUGUGUAAGUGCACACACGUGUGUGUGUGUGUGUGUUGCAUCUUCUGAGUAUUUUUCAAGGAGAAGCUUUUUAGUGAUCUGAAAAAGUCAAUUCAGUUAGCCACUAGAGUUCAAUCAAAAACUUCGGAAGAGUGCAUCAUCUUAAAGUACAUAAGAGAGAAUCAUGACCUCCAGCUCAGAAUUCAAGAAUAGGCAGGUUUGUGAAAUAGUAAGCUCAGAAAGUUGAGGGCCAGUGAACUCCUAUUUCAAGUUCUUGCGGGUGUUUGUACUUUUUUCCCAGCACCACUGAAACUUGACCUUCGGCCGGCGCGGUGGCUCACGCCUGUAAUCCCAGCACUUUGGGAGGCCGAGAUGGGCGGAUCACGAGGUCAGAAGAUCGAGACCAUCCUGGCUAACACGGUGAAACCCCGUCUCUACUAAAAAUACAAAAAAAUUAGCCGAGCGUGGUGGCGGGCUCCUGUAGUCCCAGCUACUUGGGAGGCUGAGGCAGGAGAAUGGCGUGAACCCGGGAGGCGGAGCUUGCGGUAAGCCGAGAUCGCGCCACUGCACUCCAGCCUGGGCGACUGAGCACGACUCCGUCUCAAAAAAAAAAAAAAAAAAACAAAAAAAAAACUUGACCUUCAUUAUAUCUCACUGCCCUCAUCCCAAACAUUUCCUCUCCCAGUUUUCCAGGAAACGGCAUCGCUGCCCAUCUCUUUUCAGGCCCCAACCCUGGAGAAGAACCUAAAUUUCUCAUUUCCUCACUACCUACCUCCAGUCCUUCAGCAGGUCCCGUUGGUUGGGCUGCUAAACUAUGGGCUAAAUCCUUUCAGUACUUUCCAUGCCCACAGCUACCACUCUGGUCCAAGCCAAAUUCUUAGUUCCCCUGGACUUCUUACUGCAGUAGCCUCUCAGCUUCCACUCUUGGCAAAAUCAAUUUUAUAAAACCUUGAAAUCCCUUAAUACCACUCGUCUGCUUAAACCUCGGCAUCCCACAUUUACCACUAUCAGGAAGGAUCACGUUUGUUUGUUUGCUGUCUCAUUCCCCCAUUUAUAUGUGAAUUCCACGGGUAAGGGCCUGCUCCUACAUCCCACACCUCUACAUCCACAGAGCCUAGAGACCGCAGGCGCGGGGAAAGCACUCCACGACCAUCACUGGCCAGGCCACAAGAGUGCUGGAUCUAAAUUUGGAACCGGACUUUCAGAGCUGAAAUAAACCUGAGGUUUUCCAGGGGCUUUUAACCUCCUUUUACAGCCAAGGAUGCGCCUAAGAAAGGGGAGAGGCUUCCGUGACUUCCUGCAGUAACGCAGCCACUAGAGAUUGAGACUACAACGACUUGGGAGUCUAAAAGUCUGCAACCUUUUCCACUCCAGAGCUCAAUGUUUCCUCAAUCCCCCGGGAUCGGCAUCAGCAAAAACCCGGAGAAGCGGAGCCUUUCUCAAAGAAAAUGACCUCCAGACUCAUGCUACCAUCUCGACCGGUGCAAGUAUCACGCAUGCGCAGGGCCGGCCGCCCGGCCGCACCUCGCCAACUCCUACUCGGACACGUCAUCUAGGUCGGCCUGGGUCUGGUGGGAGGGGCCGGGGGCGGGGCUCGUACGCGGGGCGAAGUGGUCCCCCUACUUCCGGAUCCGGCCUCACCUGGCCAACGCCUCAUUCGGGGUUCCUUGGUUACGUGGCUGCGGUGUCUACCCGGUGCUGGGGCGUGGCGGAGAGAGACCGCCCCGCCCUCCACGCAGGCCACAAAAUGGAGGCCCUGCCCUGUGGGCUUUUGUGGCCUGGGCGCUGUCGUGCCGAAAGACGAAAGUGACAAUUCCAGUUGCAAACUGGAAAGAAAUGGAGUUUUUCCUUCAUUCUCCCCAUGAUCGUGACGGUCCUUUUCUCAAAGUACUAAUACUUUUAAUGGGACUGUAAAACUUGAGGGAUAUGACUCUCUCCUCUCCUCUGCUUCAGAUUGCAUUUGCCAACUCUGAUUUACCGCCAAUACUAUGGUGCUGUCAUAUUCAUAGAGACAGAAAGUAGAGCAGUGGUUGUAGAGAGAGUCUGCAGAAGGAGGGAUGGGGAUUUACUGUUUAAUGGCAUACGGUUUCAGUAUGGGUUGGUGAAAAAGUUGGGAUGAAUGGUGAUGACUGCACAACAAUGCAAAUAUGCUAAUGUCACAGAAGUGUACACUUAAAAAUGGUUAGACGGUAAGUUUUCUAUUAUGUAUAUUUUACCACAAUUUUUUUUUAAAUGCAACAGAGUCUCGCUGUUGCCUAGGCUGGAGUGCAGUGGCAGGAUCUCAGCUCACUGCAACCUCCGCCUUCCAGGUUCAAGCGAUUCUUGUGCCUCAGCCUCCCAAGUAACUGGGAUUACAGGUGCCAGCCACCACGCCCAGCUAAUUUUUGUAUGUUUAGUAGAGAUGGGGUUUCACCAUGUUGGCCAGGCUAGGCUGUUCUCGAACUCCUGAACUCAGGUGAUCCGCCUGCCUUGGUCUCCCCCAGUGCCGAGAUUACACGCGUGAGCCACCACGCCGGGCCCCACAGUUUUUUGUUUUUGUCUUUUAAAUUUUUUUUAACAGCAUUUGUGUCUUUUUUUCUUUUUCUUUUGUUUUUGAAACAGAAUCUCACUCUGUCACCAAGCUGGAGUGCAGUGGCGCCAUCUUGGCUCACUGCAACCUCUGACUCCCUGGUUCAAGCAAUUCUCCUGCCUCAGCCUCUCCAGUAGCUGGGGUUACAGGCACGCACCACCCCGCCCAGCUAAUUUUUGUAUUUUUAGUAGAGAUGGGGUUUCACCAUAUUGGCCAGGGUGGUCUCCAUCUCCUGACCCCGUGAUCCACCUUGCCUUCCCAAAGUGCUGGGAUUACAGGUGUGAGCCACUGCACCCAACCUAAAUGGCAUUUGUUUCUUCCACUCCUCUCUGCCAGAAUAAUUUGGACAGCCUUUUCUGAGUUUCCCAUGACGACUUCUGUAUAAGAUUGUCGGAUAUAGCAAAUAAAAGUACAGUAUACCCAGGUAAAUUUUAAUUUCAGAUGAUCAAUGAAUAAUUUUUUAGUAUAAGUACAUUCCAACUAUUACAUGGGACAUAAGGGUAUUUUAUCUGAUCACCCUACUUUUGUGUCAAGUUAAAAUUAUUAGCAAAAGUGCUUCCGUUUUUAGGAAGUGCACACUGUACUCUAGUAGUUAGGCAGGAGAACAGGGUCUGCGAGCAGGGAACCUAAGGCCGUUUCACACUGACUUCCUAGAGCCAUUUGGAAAGGAAAACCCUAACUUUCCACUCCUAAGUAACAAAAGGCCCAGAGGCCACUCCCUUUGCAAACCCCCACCUUUUCUGUGCCGCAGCUGGAAAAUUGAAAGUGCCUCUGAUUGGUUGCUUUCUGCAACUAAUCAGAUGUUUGCAUAGAGUGUAACUUUGUAACUUCACUUCAGCCUCUGAUUGGUUGCUGUCCCCAACCAAUCAGACUGAUUGUGGGCCAAGGCUUCGUUUGAAUAGAAGUGCAACUUUGUAACUUCACUUUAGCCUCUGAUUGCAGGCCACCACUUCAUUUACAUGGGGUGAGCACCAAUGCGUUUUGUUCAAUUCUUUGUUCAAAACCCCAAGAAUCUGGACAACUUGCACUCAAGACCCUCUACGGGUUUGGCGAGCCAGUCUUUCAGUGGCUGUUUUCUAGUAGCUCCUUGGCAAUUGAGGGGAACUGGCUGGGACCACUCUCCAGUGCUGUCUGAAGGCCAAGGAGUGAACAGGGAUGGCUGCCCUGCCUUGAAGAGGGAAGGACUCUUUUCUAUCCUUUCCAGCUAUAGUCCCUGAUCCCUACAUGUGAUGCGGUUGGCAGCGGAAGCUCAUCCUGGGCGAACUCACACACUUUUCAGGAGACUUAAACCUUUUCUUAUGCUAAGUUCUUCCCUUCCCCUACUCAUCUGGCUAAAGGACAGACUAUGCAAAAAAGGUUAUACAAGUCAGAGGGUCUGAGCAUGUCGGAGGUGGUCUGUGUGGGGCAUGGGGUGGGGGGAAAAUUCAUGAAAGGCAAUUUAUUGCCUAAAUUUAAAGGGUUAAAGGGUUGCUUUAAGUGGGAUAGAAAAACCUUAAGGAAAGUUCAUAGUAGGUCCUCAGUGGUGGAGUGUUGUGGGAAGUCAGGGACCCUGAAUGAAGGGACUGGCUGAAGCCAUGGCAGAAGAACAUAAACUGUGAAGAUUUCAUGGACAUUUAUUAGUUCCCCAAAUUAACACUUUUAUAAUUUCUUACGCCUGUCUUUACUGCAAUCUCUGAACAUAAAUUGUGAAGAUUUUAUGGACAUUUAUCACUUCCCCAAUCAAUACUCUUGUGAUUUCCUAUGCCUGUCUUUACUUUAAUCUCUUAAUCCCGUCAUCUUCGUAAGCUGAGGAGGAUGUAAGUCGCCUCAGGACCCUGUGAUGAUUGUGUUAACUGCACAAAUUGUUUGUAGAGCAUGUGUGUUUGAACAGUAUCAAAUCUGGGCACCUUAAGAACAGGAUAACAGCAACGUUCAAGGAACAAGGGAGAUAAUCUUAACGUCUGGCUGCCUAUGGGCCGGGCAGAACAGAGCCAUAUUUCUCUUCUUUCUAAAGCAAAUAGGAGAAAUAUCGCUGAAUUCUUUUUCUCAGCAAGGAACAGCCCUGAGACAGAGAAUGUGUGCCUAGGGGUAGUCCUCCAAAAUGGCCACUCUGGGGACGGCUGUCUUUUAUGGUCGUAGAUAAGGGAAGAAAUAAGCCCCGGACUCCCAUAGUGCUCCCAGGCUUAUUAGGACGAGGAAAUUCCCACCUAAUAAAUUUUGGUCAGACUGGUUGUCUGCUCUCAAACCCUGUCUCCUGAUAAGAUGUUAUCAAUGACAAUGCGUGCCCGAAACUUCACUCGCAAUUUUAAUUUCGCCCUGGUCAUGUGGUCCCGUGAUCUCACCCUGCCUCCAUUUGCCUUGUGAUAUUUUAUUACCUUGUGAAGCAUGUGAUCUCUGUGACCCACACCCUAUUCAUACACUCCCUCCCCUUUUGGAAAUCACUAAUAAAAACUUGCUGGUUUUACGGCUUAGGGGGCAUCACAGAACCUGCCGACAUAUGAUGUCUCCCCUGGACACCCAGCUUUAAAAUUUCUCUCUUUGUACUCUUUCCCUUUAUUUCUCAGACCAGCCAACACUUAGGGAAAAUAGAAAAGGACCCACGUGAAAUAUCAGGGGCUGAAUUUCCCCCGAUAGUGGAGGGAACCAUCCCAAAGCAGUGCCAGCCCCCAUCUAAGGUCAGAGACAUCUGACAGACUAAAUCAGGGCCCUAAAGUAGGGACGCCCCUGGGGACCCCAGUCUGGGUUCAGAAUUUUUUCAGGGGGAUGCCCUGGGUAAAGUUUGGGUCACCUAAUGGGCCCUCUACUUUUCAAAGUCCUCUUCUCUGUUCCAGACCACUAUGGGCAACUCUCUAUCUAUUCGACCUGAUUCCACUAUGGGCAAUUCUACACCUGUUCCACCGGAUUCCUCACUUGGCUACAUCAUCCACCAUUGGAAUCAAUUUGACCCUGACACUCUAAAGGGAAAAUGUAUAAUUUUUUUCUGUAAUACUGUUUGGCCCCAUUAUGAGCUGCCCAGCCCCCAGCAAUGGGCAGUCAGUGGUAGCCUUAAUUAUGACACCAUCCUGCAAUUAGACCUACUUUGCAAGAGGCUGGGAAGAUGGUCAGAAGUCCCAUAUGUACAGGCUUUUAUCAAAAUAUCAAAAACCUAACAAUCUGUGAAACUCCCAGAACCCACCCCCCAAAGGAAAGUACUAAGGCAGAACUAGAUAUUAUAGAUGACCCUCUUUUACAAGGGCUAGCUGUCUCUCAGGGUGAACAGCAACCAUCCCCAUAAAGCCCCUUGCCAAGUGCUCCUGAGGCUAAAACCCAGGAGCAAACACCAGGGACCCUACUAAAUCCCCCUCACACUUGGAGAGGAAUGCCAUAUUCAAUUCUCUCUCCAGCCCUGCUACCUCUUAGGGAAGUAGCAGGAACCAAGGGGCCAGUCCUAGUGCAGGCCCCCUUCUCUAUAAUUUAUACAUACAAUAUAAGGAAAAGCUAGGAAACUAUUCUGAGAAUCCUAAGAAACUUGCAGAUGGGUUCCAGCGUUUGACCUUAGCCUCUGAUCUAUCAUGGAGAGAUGUUCAAUUCAUUCUAGCAACCUGUUACACACCCUCAGAAAAGGAAUGAAUCUCUGAGGCCGCCCACCUGCAAGCAAUGAAUUAUUUGCCCAAAACUCUCAGGGCAAUCAUCCCGGCCCAGACACAGUUCCCACUAUUGAUCAUAAUUGGGACUAUAACACUCCUGAGGAAAUGAACAACCGGGCUAAAUUUCUUGAGGCUCUCCUUGGAGGAAUGAGAAAGGGAAUAACUAAAGGCAGUAAAUUAUGAUAAAGUAAGGGAGGUUACACAAGGCAAGGAGGAAAAUCCAGCCAUGUUUUAUGGCAGGCUGGAGGGAGACUUUAAAAAAUAUACUAAUCUGGACCCUUCCUCUCCCGAAGGCAAAAUAUUAAUAGCACAGCAUUUCAUUAGCCAAUCUGCCCCAGACAUUAGAGAUAAGCUCCAAAAGCUACAGAUGGGGCCACAAACUAAUCAAAAUCAGCUUACUUAUAUCACAUUUAUGGUGUAUAACAAUCGUGACCUGAAGGAAGGAAAAAGGGAACAGAGUAAACAAAAUGGCAAGCCAAAAGUAUGGCAGCCAUCAUUGACGAUGCCCUGAAUGUACAAAGAGUGUCUAAGGGAAACCCGAAGGGCCAUAAAGAUAAUGCCAGCAAAGGCUCUUGCUUCAAAUGCAAGAAAAGAAGACAUUGGGCAAAGGAUUGUGCUAAGUCCCCGCCAGGCCCCUGCCGUCAAUGCAAGGGCACCAGUCAUGACCCCUGGCACUGGAGAAUUGACUGCCCAUGUUCCCACUGAGGGGCUCAGUCAGUCAAAACUCUAGCAGUGCAAAAGGAGGAAUUAGAUGAAGACUGAAGGGGCCUGAGGUCUUCCUCACUGCCCCUGUUCAGGAACAUUGUAAUUACUACUGAGGAGCCCCAGGUAACUCUGGACGUCAUGGGCACCCAAAUUCAGUUUCUUUUUGAUGCAGGAGCAAAUUACUCUGUUCUUACUGCUUAUGCAGUAAGGCGUUCCUCCCAGUCCACAAGUGUUAUGGGAAUAGAAUGGAAGCCACAAACGAGUUUUUAUUUUAUUUUAUUUUAUUUUAUUUUACUUUAAGUUCUGGGAUACAUAUGCAGAAUGUGCAGGUUUGUUACAUAGGUAUACAUGUGCCAUGGUGGUUUGCUGCACCUAUCGACCCAUCAUCUAGGUUUUAAGUCCCACAUGGAUUAGGUAUUUGUCCUAAUGCUCUUCCUCCCCUUGCCCCCAACCCCCCAACAGGCCUUGGUGUGUGAUGUUCCCCUCCCUGUGUCCAUGUGUUCUCAUUGUUCACCUCCCACUUAUUAGUGAGAACAUGCGGUGUUUGGUUUUCUGUUCCUGUGUUAGUUUGCUGAGAAUGAUGGUUUCCAGCUUCAUCCAUGUUCCUGCAAAGGACAUGAACUCAUUCUUUUUUAUGGUUGCGUAGUAUUCCAUGGUGUAUAUGUGCCAUAUUUUCUUUAUCCCGUCUAUCACUGAUGGGCAUUUGGGUUGGUUCCAAGUCUUUGCCAUGGUAAAUAGUGUUGCAGUAAACAUACAUGUGCAUGUAUCUUUAUAAUAGAAUGAUUUAUAAUCCUUUGGGUAUAUAUCCAGUAAUGGGAUUGCUGGGUCAAAUGGUAUUUCUGGUUCUAGAUCCCUGAGGAAUCACCACACUGUCUUCCACAAUGGUUGAACUAAUUUACACUCCCACCAACAGUGUAAAAAUGUUCCUACUUCUCCACAGCCUCACCAGCCUGUUUCCUGACUUUUUAAUGAUCACCAUUCUAACUGGUGUGAGAUGGUAUCUCACUGUGAUUUUGAUUUGCAUUUCUCUAACAACAAGUGAUGAGCAUUUUUUCAUAUGUUUGUUGGCUGCAUAAAUGUCUUCUUUUGAGAAGUGUCUGUUCAUAUCCUUUGCCUACUUUUUGAUGGGGUUGACAAACAAGAUUCAUUACUCCUCCUUUGAUUUGUCAAUUUGAGAAACAACUCUUCCAACAGGAUUUCCUAGUAGUACCAAGCUGCCCAAUCCCCCUGUUGGGAAGAGAUAUUAUGGUUAAAAUGGAGGCACUACUACAAUUUAAGCAUCACCCAUUGAAAUUGCUGAUAGUCAAAAAUACAGUGUUCCAGACCACAUUAAUAAAUAGGUUAACCCGCUGGCAUUGGUAUACUGGAAAACCAGGGAAGGCUAAAACAGCAGUGCCAGUCAAAAUACAUUUUAAAGACCUCAGCUAGUUUCCCAAUUGAAAAUAAUAUCCAAUUAAGCAGGAAGCAAGAAAAGGCCUAGCACCCAUAAUUGAGGUAUUACUUAUUACAUGGGCUCUUAAAAUCCUGUAAUUCCCCUUGCAAUACCUGUUCUAAAGCCUUUGGGGGAAUACCAGUUAGUAUAGGACUGGAGAAUACCGGUUAGUAUAGGACCUGAGAAUAAUUAAUGAGGCUGUUAUCCCCGUCCACCCACUGGUGGCAGAUCCAUAUACCCUUAUGGCUCAGGUACAAGGGGAUGCAAAAUGGUUCUCAGUCCUGGACCUAAAAGAUGCUUUCUUCUCCAUCCCUCUGGCCCCAGAGUCCCAAUACCUUUUUGCCUUUGAAUGGGAAAAUCAAUAUGAGGGAAAAACAGUAAUAUACCUGGACAGUGCACCCUUAGGGCAUUCAGGAUAGCCCCCAUUGGAUUGCCCGAGCCUUAGAGAGGGAUCUGAAGGAUCUGAAAGUGAAAAAUGGGAAUAUACUCCAGUAUGUGGAUGACUUUCUUGUGUGUAGCCCAAACCCAGGAGGUUUCUGACCAAACUACUAUAAAAACUUUGAAUUUCCUGGCAGACAGGGGAUACAAAGUGUCCGACAAGAAGGCACAGAUUAUCCUCCAAUGGGUGCAAUAUUUAGGGUAUGUCUUAACACCCAGAGCCUGACAAAUAUCCCCAGAACGAGAGCAAGCCAUAGGUGGUUUGCCCCCUGCCCCCUCCCCAACCCCCCCACCUGCCACACCUAGUAGCAGCUUUGUUCUUUUUUGGGAAUGGCCAGGUUUUGCAGAAUAUGGGUACCAAAUUUCAGACUCAUAGCAAAGCCCCUAUAUGAAGCAACAAAGGGGCCUGAAGACGAGCUAAAGGAAUGAACCCCAGAAUUGAGAAAAGCCUUUGCCAAGUUAAAACAGGCUCUCGCUCUUGGCAUCCCAGACCUACCUAAGCCCUUCUCUUUGUACGUAGCAGAGAAGAAGGGCAUAGCUGUGGGUGUACUAGCCCAGACAUUAGGAUCAGAACCCAGACUAACCACUGACUUUCCAAAGAAGUUGGAUGGAGUGGCCUCGAGGUGACCAAGUUGCCUGCGGCCAACAGCAGCCACUGCUAUGUUAGUGGAGGAAGCCACUGAAAUCGCUCUGAGCCAACCACUGGAAGUUCUCACCCCCUCAUCAGGUUAAGUCUGUCUUAGAGAUAAAGGGACACAUCUGGAUGACAGGGGAAAGAUGAACCAAAUACCAGGCCAUGUUCCUAGACAAUCCAGAUGUAACCCUUAAAACCUGCAACACUUUGAAUCCAGCUUCAGUGCUGCCCACAGGCCCAAUAACUGAUCAUUCCUGCAAGCAGGUCAUUGCACAUACACAAUGUUAGCCAGCCUGCUUUAAAAGACAAGCCUCUCCCAGAUUCUGAGGAUGAGUGGUUCACAGAUGGCAGUAGUUUUGUGUCAAAUGGGGUUUGACACAGCACUGAGCUGGAUAUGCAGUAGUAAUUAUCGAAGCCCAGCCACUGCUCCUUGGCACAUCAGCACAAAAGGCUGAAAUCAUUGCUCUUACUUGAGCAUUAAUGUUGGUACAAGGAAAAAAGCUUAACAUCUAUAUCGAUUCUAAAUAUGCAUUCCUUGUGGUUCAUGUUCAUGCUACAGUCUGGAAAGAAAAGGGAUUUCUAACUAGAAAACAGUCCUCUAUAAAGCCUGGGCCUGAAAUUCUUCAGCUAUUGGAAGCAAUACACUUGCCAAAGGCCGUAGCUCUAAUUAAUUGUUGGGGUAUCAAAGGGACUUAACCCCUAUAGCACAAGGGAACAGAAAGGCUGAUAAAGAACCAAAGCCGCAUCCCUCAGGGUGCCAUCCCAACAGACCCUAGCCCUACUUCCUUUCUAUGAUUUCCCAACAGAACCUGAGUACACAGUACAGAAAGAACAGUUAAUAGAGGAACAAGGGGGACACAAAAAAAGGAUCCUGGUGGCAUAUGGGGUCAAAAACAUAUCUCCCUCAGACAGCCCAGUGGAAAGUUAUAAAAGCCGUGCAUGCCUCUUUCCAUGUGGGGAGGGAUGCAACUCUGGCCAUUUAAACCAGCUCUUUACUGGGUCUAACUUAGCUUCAGUGGCUAAGCAGGUUUGCUAGGCCUGCUCCCUGUGUGCACUUAACAACCUAGGAAACAACAUGCCUCCUCUAAUAGAACCAGUGCAGAGGAGAGGAACUUAUCCAGGGGGAGACUGGCAAUUAGACUUCACCCAUAUGCCAGCUUGCAGAGGACAUGAGUUUUUGUUAGUACUAAUAGAUAUCUUUACUGGUUGGGUCGAAGUUUAUCCUACCAGAACAGAGAAGGUUAAUGAGGCUAUAAAGGUUCUCUUAAAAGAAAUAAUCCCCGGGUUUGGGUUACCUCAGAGCCUCCAAAUUGAUAAUGGCCCGUCCUUUAUCUCCCAGCUAACUCAAGGGGUUGCUAAGUCUCCUGGAAUCAAGUACUAUCUACAUUCAGCAUGAAGGCCUCGAUCCUUGGGGAAAGUAGAAAGGGCUAACCAAACUUUAAAACGAGUGUUAGCUAAGCUAUGUAAGGAAACAUCAGAAACUUGGGUCAGCUUACUGCCCAUAGCCCUCUUAAGGACCCAUAAUACCCCUACAGCAAAAAUUAAUAUAAACCCAUAUGAAAUAUUAUGUGGAAGGCCAUUCUUAACUAAUGAUUUAAUUACUGAUCCAGAAACAGUUGGUUUAGUAAAAUACCUAGUCAAUCUAGGACAGUUUCAACAGGCUUUACAAACGUUUGGAAUGCAAAGUCUCCCCACACUGGGAACAAUCAGCAACUUAAAAUCAGGUCAGGAAAUAAGGUACUUCUUAAAACAUGGAAAGAGGGAUCACCUGCUCAACAAUUACAACCCAAACGGAAGGGACUGUUUUCAGUGGCACUGGCCAUGCCUUCUGCAGUGAAAGUACUAGGAUUAGAUAGCUGGAUACAUCUUUCAAGGAUCAAGAGAGUGAUACCAGAAGCCCUGGACCAGGAACCCGAAGUUGCCAUCUGCCUCUACACCUGUGAACCUGUGGAAGACUUCAUGAAGUACCUGUUUAGAAGACAGUCAAAAGAAAAGUAAAUGCCUACCAAUUUUCCUUGGUGUCUUUGUUGCAUAGUUACUAUAGGCUGGAUAAUAGUGCCAUUUUUAAAAAUGUUUUAUUUUUGCAGUUUCAUUGCCUUCUUCCAAAUGGAUGGAAUCACUUCCUUUGUAGUAAUUAAGCAGAAUGUUUUAAUACAUUUCUAUAACAAACAUUCCUGACGGCAUAGGUAUCCACCCCCAAAGUUCCCAUUAAAUCUUUUAACCAAAUUCAUUUCCUGUUGCACAGAGACCAUCAAGCUUCAGAUGAUCAUGUGACAGGGUUUCCAGCCAGUUCCAGGUGAAGACACCACCCCUGGCCAUCAAGAAGUCACCCGGUCUCCACUAGACAGAGUAGGGUGAGAGUUCCGUGAUCUCCAACCGGUAGUGAUUAUGCCCCAAGUCAGCAUAAAGAAGUUACGGAAGAAAAACCAUCAGUCCCUCUGUCUCACAUAAAGACUUAUGGGGAUCACGUUUCUCAGAGGGGAGAUGAGGCAGGAGAAUAGGGUCUGGAGGCAGGGAACCUAAGGCCGUUUCACACUGACUUCUUAGAACUAAAUUGAAAGGAAAACCCUAAUUUUCCAUGCCUAAGUAACAAAAGGACCAGAGGCUACUCCCUUUGCAAACCCCCACCUUUUCUGUGUGGCAUAUGGGAAAUUGAAAGUACCUCUGAUUGAUUGUUUUCUGCAACCAAUCAGAUGUUUGCAUUGGAGUGUAACUUUGUAAUUUCACUUCAGUCUCUGAUUGGUUGCUGCAGUCUGGAAAUUCUGCAGGCCAAGUCUUCGUUUGCAUAGAAGUGCAACUUUGUAACUUCAUCUUAGCCUCUGAUUGGUUGCUUUCUGCAACCAAUCAGAUGUUUGCAUAGGCGUGUGACCUUUGUAACUUCACUUCAGCUUCUGAUUGGUUGCUUUCCACAACCAAUCAGACUGAUUGUGGGCCACCACUUCCUUUACGUGAGGUGAACACCAAGUGGCCAAUGGAAAACCUCAAGAGGGUAUUUGGACCUGAGAAGAUUCUGUAUCUGGGGCCCUUGAGCUGCUGCUCUGCCCACUCUCACAUGGUGGAGUGUAAUUUCACUUUGAAUAAAUCUCUGCUUUUGUUGCUUCAUUCUUUCCUUGCUUUGCUGUGUAUUUUGUCCAAUUCUUUGUUCAAAACGCCAAGAACCUGGACAACUUGCAGUCAAGACCCUCUACCAGUAACACUAGUUGUAUCCCUGUAAAUGAAUGGGCUUUGAAGAUUUUCUAGAAGAAAAAGAUCACCUCAUUGUCCUUCAUUUUUUGACAUAAAACUGUGAUAGCCCAAUAGAUAAAAUGUGAGUUAUCGAUCACCCCUGGAAAGGAUUAGGAUAUGCCACUCCAAAAUAUGCCACGUUUAUUUUGCACUGAAGGCAAUUGAGAAACAGUAGACACAGGAAGAGCUCUCUGCUUUUCCCCUUUUUACCUAAAAGCAGAGAAUAAAUUUCCUUUUGGAAAGAUGACAUACAUUUUCCUUUAUAAAGGUGUUCCCUUCUCCUCUACCAGGAAGAUCUGAGAUGGCACCAAAAUGAAUCUGCCUAACAAACCUUACUGCACAAUUCUUAGCUACCAUACAUUUCAUAGUCACCUUCCCAUAAUUUACUGCCCUUAGGAGCCCAAGUCCCUUUCCUUUGACUAUCACCUCUCCACAAUUUAUUGCCCUUUGUUAAAAUGAUAUAUAAGCUCCUUCAUUUAACUACAUCUUUGGGUUUUCACUUCUUAUCUUUGAUGCUACGAUGCAUGUAAAAAUAUUAAUAAAAUUUGUGUGCUUUUUCUCCUGUUAAUUGUAUGUCUUUUAUCAACUUAAAUUACAGGCCCCAAGUACAUAAUUAAGAGAGUAAAAGGCUGGGCACGGUGGCUGAUGCCUGUAGUCCCAGCACUUUGGGAGGCCAAGGCAGGCAGAUCACAAGGUCAGGAGAUCGAGACCAUCCUGGCUAACAUGGUGAAACCCCGUCUCUACUAAAAAAUAAAAAAAAAUUUAGCCAGGCGUGGUGGCGGGCGCCGGUAGUCUCAGCUACUCGGGAGGCUGAGGCAGGAGAAUGGCGUGAACUCGGGAGGCAGAGCUUGCAGUGAGCGGAGAUCUUGCCACUGCACUCCAGCCUGGGCAACAGAGCAAGGCUCCAUCUCAAAAAAAAAAAAAAAAAAGAGAGAGAGAGAGUAAAAGUUUUUCCUCUCCUACACCUCCUUCCCUGUUAGUCUAAAUACUAUAGCUUGGACAUAAAACUUAUCCUGAACAGUAGGCUUAUAAAUGCAACUAGCGGCCGGAUACAGUGGCUCACACCUGUAAUCCUAGCACUUUGGGAGGCCGAGGCGGGUGGAUCACCUGAGGUCAGGAGUUCAAGACCAGCCUGGCCAACAUGGAGAAACCCUGUCUCUACUAAAAAUACAAAAAUUAGCUGGGCAUGGUGGCACACAUGUGUAAUCCCAGCUACUCAGGAGGCUGAGACUGGAGAAUUGCUUGAACCCAGGAGGCAGAGGUUGCAGUAAGCCAAGAUCACUCCACUGCACUUCAGCCCGGGCAUCAGAGCAAGACUCCAACUCAAAAAUAAAUAAAAUAAAAUAAUUAAAUAAAUGCAACUCAUGGUAGAUUGGAGCCGAGGUAUGAAAAACGUUAAGCUUUAGGAUAAAUAAUGGUUCUCAGGACAUAACUUAGCUAACAUACAAGCUAUUUAUAAGCUAACAUAGAAGUUGCAACCAGAAGGGGGAUUCUUUUGGCCAGCAGAACCUGGAAAAAUGAAAGCCACAGAGGCAAAUACUAAAGUAUCACUCAGGAAAGACAAGAGUGUAGCUCUGUGACAUAGAUGGAUAUAUUCUAAUCAUAAAACUAAUUUUACUUCUUCCAAAUUUAUGCCCACAAACCAACUUUCUGCUUUUUUCUUGUCUCGUAUGCAUUUUUUAACUUAAUAAUCUUUAAACACUUUUAUAAGAGUUUUUAUAUUCUGCAUAGAAACACUUUGUUAGCUAUAUGAAUUGCAAAUAUUGCUUUAUCAAAAGAUUCCUAGAGUCAUGAAAGAAAGCAAACAAAGUGCUAAUAUUGUGGUUCAUUGCUUCACUUAUAAGAUAAAAUGCAUACCAUUUAUCAAUCUAUAAACAAUGUCUCAAUUUGAGGUUGAAUGUUAGAGUUUACCCGGUAAUCUAGUAUUUCUCUAGAAAUGUCAAAAAAAAGGGCAAAAUUAUAUAGUACAGAGGAGUGAGUGGCUGGAGGUUGUCUAGACAAGGUACCCACUGGAUGCCAUUAUCUUGGUGAAAAAGAGAAAGAGAAAAGCAGUCACUGACAUGAGGAGUUGGCCUGGUUCUUACAGAUAGGACUUGGCAUUCUCCUGUCAAAUAUAAGCAAUUUCACAGAACAUGAACAUUAGACAACGCCGUGUUGUGAUGUUGAUGUAGCAAGACGAAAACACUGUAACCCUCUGUAAUCAUGUCUCAACAAUCCACUACAACCCGAAUGUGGUCCAAACCACAAAAUAACCAAACAUCCUCUGUCUUGCCUAAGAGUAGUGACUGCUGCCUCUUUAGCAAUCACAACUUAAGCCUCAGACUAGUCUGCCCUCCUUCUAGAUAAGAGUUAUUAGAUAUCUAAUUUUAAGAAUUACCCCCUGCUUCCUGACAGCAUUUGAUCCAGAGCAAAGCUCCACCUCUUUAAAACGCUCCCCAAACCACAAAACACAAGCUCAAUUCUUAUAAAUUUCUUUCCAAUCCCCUCUUACUGAGAUGUCCCAUCGUUCCUCAUAGUGUGCGUUCUCCCUUGCUGCAACAAGGAAAUAAACCCAACUAUAGUUGUGUUCCUGGUGGUCUUUAGCUGAAGAGCAUUGACACUGCAGAAUCCAGGAGAAUCCAGGACAAUUCAAGAGCUGGAGACAGCUUACUUGUCAGGACACUAAAAAUAGACCUAUCUCUCAAGGGUGAAUUUGUAUUAGCCACAGACACAGAAACUGAUGGAUAAGUAACAUUACUAAUUUGUUAAUUAAUAAAAAUGAAAUAAAGCCCUGGAAGAGUCAGAAAAGACAAAUGUAUAGAGUGAGAAAGUAGAUGAAUGGUUUCCUGAAGGUGGGUGUGGAAAGGGGAAUUAAAUGUUAAAGGGCAUGAGUGGUCUUAUUGGGGU